rnacentral:rRNA from 1 species
UACAGAGGGUGCGAGCGUUAAUCGGAAUUACUGGGCGUAAAGCGCACGUAGGCGGCUUGGUAUGUCGGGUGUGAAAUCCCCGGGCUCAACCUGGGAACUGCAUCCGAAACUGCCUUGCUCGAGUAUGGGAGAGGGAAGUGGAAUUUCCGGUGUAGCGGUGAAAUGCGUAGAUAUGCGGAGGAACACCGAUGGCGAAGGCAAUCCCCUGGACCUGUACUGACGCUCAUGCACGAAAGCGUGGGGAGCAAACAGG